rnacentral:rRNA from 1 species
AGGGUUUGAUCAUGGCUCAGAUUGAACGCUGGCUGCAUGCUUAACACAUGCAAGUCGAACGAGAAAGUACCUUCGGGUGCGAGUAAAGUGGCGGACGGGUGAGUAAUGCAUAGGAAUCUGCCCAGUAGUGGGGGACAACUCGGGGAAACUCGAGCUAAUACCGCAUACUUCCUACGGGAGAAAGACUUCGGUCGCUACUGGAUGAGCCUAUGUCAGAUUAGCUUGUUGGUAGGGUAAUGGCCUACCAAGGCAACGAUCUGUAGCUGGUCUGAGAGGAUGAUCAGCCACACUGGGACUGAGACACGGCCCAGACUCCUACGGGAGGCAGCAGUGGGGAAUAUUGGACAAUGGGCGAAAGCCUGAUCCAGCAAUGCAGCGUGUGUGAAGAAGGCCUGAGGGUUGUAAAGCACUUUCAGUAGGGAAGAUAAUGACGGUACCUACAGAAGAAGCACCGGCUAACUCCGUGCCAGCCGCCGCGGUAAUAC